UACGUAGGGGGCAAGCGUUGUCCGGAUUUACUGGGCGUACAGAGCGUGUAGGCGGCCAAGCAGGUCCGUUGUGAAAACUGGAGGCUUAACCUCCAGACGUCGACGGAAACCGCGUGGCUAGAGUCCGGAAGAGGAGAGUGGAAUUCCUGGUGUAGCGGUGAAAUGCGCAGAUAUCAGGAAGAACACCAAUGGCGAAGGCAGCUCUCUGGGACGGUACUGACGCUGAGACGCGAAAGCGUGGGGAGCGAACAGG
rnacentral:rRNA from 1 species